UACGGGGGGAGCAAGCGUUGUUCGGAUUUACUGGGCGUAAAGGGCGCGUAGGCGGUCGUGACAAGUCACUUGUGAAAUCUCCGGGCUUAACUCGGAACGGUCAAGUGAUACUGUCGGACUAGAGUACAGAAGGGGCAACUGGAAUUCUCGGUGUAGCGGUGAAAUGCGUAGAUAUCGAGAGGAACACCUGCGGCGAAGGCGGGUUGCUGGGCUGAUACUGACGCUGAGGCGCGAAAGCCCAGGGGAGC
rnacentral:rRNA from 1 species